GGUCAGGCUGAAGACCUUACCCGAUUUAGCUGAGAGGUGGUGCAUGGCCGUCGUCAGUUCGUACUGUGAAGCAUCCUGUUAAGUCAGGCAACGAGCGAGACCCACGUCCACAGUUGCCAGCAUACCCUCCGGGGUGAUGGGUACACUGUGGAGACCGCCGCUGCUAAAGCGGAGGAAGGAGUGGGCAACGGUAGGUCAGUAUGCCCCGAAUCUCCCGGGCUACACGCGGGCUACAAUGGUUGGUACAAUGGGCAUCUACCCCGAAAGGGGAAGGAAAUCUCUUAAAGCCAAUCGUAGUUCGGAUUGAGGGCUGCAACUCGCCCUCAUGAAGCUGGAAUCCGUAGUAAUCGCGUUUCAACAGAACGCGGUGAAUACGUCCCUGCUCCUU
rnacentral:rRNA from 1 species